GAUGAACGCUGGCGGCGUGCCUAAUACAUGCAAGUCGAGCGAACAGACGAGGAGCUUGCUCCUCUGACGUUAGCGGCGGACGGGUGAGUAACACGUGGAUAACCUACCUAUAAGACUGGGAUAACUUCGGGAAACCGGAGCUAAUACCGGAUAAUAUAUUGAACCGCAUGGUUCAAUAGUGAAAGACGGUUUUGCUGUCACUUAUAGAUGGAUCCGCGCCGCAUUAGCUAGUUGGUAAGGUAACGGCUUACCAAGGCAACGAUGCGUAGCCGACCUGAGAGGGUGAUCAGCCACACUGGAACUGAGACACGGUCCAGACUCCUACGGGAGGCAGCAGUAGGGAAUCUUCCGCAAUGGGCGAAAGCCUGACGGAGCAACGCAGCGUGAGUGAUGAAGGUCUUCGGAUAGUAAAACUCUGUUAUUAGGGAAGAACAAAUGUGUAAGUAACUAUGCACGUCUUGACGGUACCUAAUCAGAAAGCCACGGCUAACUACGUG
rnacentral:rRNA from 1 species